rnacentral:snRNA from 1 species
AUGCCCACUUCAGCAGCACAUAUACUAAAACUGGAACGAUACAGAGAUUAGCAUGGCCCCUGUGCAAGGGUGACACACAAAUUCAUGAAGCAUUCUAUAUUUU